AGCUAGCCUUCGGAUUUUAAAAACCUCUGUGCUUCAACAGUUGGACUGAACCAUUCGAAAGAUCCAUCUUUAAGUGUGAUUCUGAGUCGGGCUGGGUAGCAAAGGGAAGGCUUGAAACCCUUGUUAAAAAACUCGGACAUAACUUCUUUGAAUUUAGCACAUUCCUGCAUAACCUCAGGAGAUGUAAACACGGGAGAACUGUGAACUUGAUCAAUCAUAGGCAAAGAUGUCAAAAUUUCCGGAAAUAAUUCUUGCAAAAAGUUUGCAAAAAAUUCCAUAGGAUGAUGACCUUCAAUUAAUUCUUUGAGACCCAGAACCCUGGCAGCAUGGCAAAAACUACUUCGCUGGGGGUGAAGAACCUUGGAAUGGCACGAAGAUGUGAGAGACACGCCAGGGUUUUGUCUCUAUUCCUCUGACCAUCUAUUUCUGCUGGGAUGUCAUCAAGCAAGGAAAUCACUACUCUGAGAUUUUUUUGAAGGUGUAACCUGUUGAUAAGCCAUUUCUGUAAUCAGUAUGGGUAAUGCAGGCAAUAGUGCCCAGGUCUGCUGGAGUUGUAUGGCACAGAGUCUAUCAAUCCCAGCUAGUCGUAACUCUAUGUUUUCCUACAAGUUGCCGAGAAGUCAUGGGGGAAGGGAAGUGCACAUACUGUUGAAAAUGAAGGAAACCAGACUGCUGGGCUCCCUUUAUAUCCAGCAGGCGAACAGCAGGGACUCUCCGCAGCCCAGCUUUCCCCUGUCAGUAGCAGAAUUCUUUCAUGUAUUCUCUCUCAGGCAGGCAAUCUGAUCCUGCUGAGCCAAGUCCACGCCAUCCCACCAGCUUUAUCGUUCUUACGUCCAAGAUCUUAAUCUUCUGAUAAUAGAGUGGAAAAAAAGAGGUCCAGUUUAAUAGUGCAUUAGCUACCAGUGGAAAGCCUUUAUGAGUAACUGAUUUGCUCCACAUCACAAAUGCAAAGUGUAGGCAAUAACUACAAAGCAACAUAUCUGUAACAAUCCUAAAAUCUAACGUCAUGAGUGACUUGAUGGCUUCCUAAUGGCUUAAUUUAAUGGUCUUUUAUUUGGACAAAGCGCCAGUCAUAUUUUCCUAAAUCAUCUGCAAGAUUUUUUAAAAUCACUUUCAGCUCCACGGUGUGUCAGGUCUCCUCAGUGUUAGAAGCAGAGCCCAACUUUUGUCACAAUUGCCUCUGACUUUUACCAUAUUUGCCAGCUUGUGUCUGACACCCAAAAUACCUAUUGUUUAUCAGUCCCACUGUAUUCAAACAACCAAAAAGAAAAGGAAAAUAAAAAGGCAGUUUAGCAUUCUUUCUGUAUUUAAUUUAAUAAAAUUAGUUAUACUGAAAUCCUAAUAAAUAUUGAGUGGUUAAGUCCAAAGA